rnacentral:SRP_RNA from 1 species
CGGCUGUAAUGGUCAAACGGUGAAGGCUCUCAACUCAACUCGCCUUUUCCAAUCUCACCCCCGUCAGAUCCCCUCCGUUCGACGCCCAGCCCGAACGCCGCGGUGGCCAGCCGCUCGCAUAGGAAACUUGCGACCGUCGGUUCUUUGGCCCUAAGCAAUGGAGAUGACACUUGAGGGAGGUUUCACUCUGCAGAGGACUCUCCCCCGUCGCGUGGCGGGCUGGAUUACGAUCGCGGAGGGCGUGGGAUGGAAUGGUGAGACGGAGAAUGCCGACACUAUUUUU